rnacentral:tRNA from 8 species
GCUCUCGUAGUUCAACGGAUAGAAUUCAAGCUUGCGGAGUUUGAGAUCGUGGUUCGAUUCCACGCGAGAGCACCU